UCAAGCGUUUAAGGGCGUGUAGUGGAUGCCUUGGCACUGAAAGCCGAUGAAGGACGUGAUAUACUGCGAUAAGUUUCGGGGAGCUGUAUGUAAGUUUUGAUCCGAAAAUUUCCGAAUGGGGAAACCCACCACUUUAUGUGGUACUUUAAACUGAAUACAUAGGUUUAAAGAGACAACCUGGAGAACUGAAACAUCUAAGUAACCAGAGGAAAAGAAAUCAAUUGAGAUUCCGUUAGUAGUGGCGAGCGAACGCGGACUAGGCCAGUAGUUUUGUUAAAAAAAUUUGAAUAGUUUGGAAAUGCUAACCAUAGAGGGUGAUAGUCCCGUAUGAGUAAUGUUUAACAAAAUUCUUGAGUAAAGCGGGACACGUGAAAUCCUGCUCGAAUAUAGGGGGACCACCCUCUAAGCCUAAAUACUCUUCAGUGACCGAUAGUGAACUAGUACCGUGAGGGAAAGGUGAAAAGAACCCCUAUUAGGGGAGUGAAAUAGAACCUGAAACUGCAUGCCUACAAUCAGUCGAAGCUCUUUUUAGAGUGACGGCGUACCUUUUGUAUAAUGGGUCAGUGACUUAAUUUAUAAAGCAAGCUUAAGCCAUCUAGGUGUAGGCGUAGCGAAAGCAAGUCUUAAUAGGGCGAUUAGUUUUAUGAAUUAGACCCGAAAACGAAUGAGCUUACCAUGAGCAGGUUGAAAGUUGGGUAACACCAACCGGAGGACCGAACCAGUUGACGUUGAAAAGUCUUUGGAUGACUUGUGGUAAGGGGUGAAAGGCCAACCAAAUUCGUAGAUAGCUGGUUUUCCGCGAAAACUAUUUAGGUAGUGCGAUGAAUAAAUAGACGUUUGGAGGUAGAGCACUAAAUGGGCUAGGGGGAAGAGAUUCUUACCAAACCUAAUAAAACUCCGAAUGCCAAGCGUUGUUCUUCAUCAGACAGACUGUGGGUGCUAAGGUCCAUGGUCGAGAGGGAAAGAGCCCAGACCACCAGAUAAGGUCCCCAAAUUAUGAUUAAGUGUGAAAGGAUGUGGAAAUUCCUUAACAGCCGGGAGGUUGGCUUAGAAGCAGCCAUCCUUUAAAGAUAGCGUAACAGCUCACCGGUCUAAUAGAGUUUCUGCGCCGAAGAUGUAACGGGGCUAAAAUCAUAUACCGAAUCUGUGGGUUUAUAAAAUUUUCGAAUUUUAUAAGCGGUAGCGGAACGUUCUGUAAGCCUGUGAAGGAGUACCCGUGAGGGACUCUGGAGGUAUCAGAAGUGCGAAUGCUGACAUAAGUAACGAUAAAAGAAGUGAAAAACUUCUUCGCCGAAAAUCCAAGGGUUUCUGCGCAAGGUUAAUCCGCGCAGAGUUAGUCGGCACCUAAGGCGAGGGCGAAAGCCGUAGUCGAUGGAAAUAAGGUUAAUAUUCCUUAACCAGAUGGUAGUGACGGAUCUUGUAAGUUGUGAGUUCUUAAUGGAUUGAACUUGCCGCGAAAAGGUUCCAAGAAAUAGCUCCAUCAUUAGACCGUACCCUAAACCGACACAGGUGGAUUAAUAGAGUAUAUUUAGGCGCUUGAGAGAAUGAUGUUGAAGGAACUCGGCAAAAUGCUUCCGUAACUUCGGGAUAAGGAAGACCUGUUUUUAGGCAACUAGAGAUGGGUGGCACAAGCCAGGGAGAAGCGACUGUUUAUCAAAAACACAGGGCUCUGCUAACACGUAAGUGGAUGUAUAGGGUCUGACGCCUGCCCGGUGCUGGAAGGUUAAUGCGGUUGGUGCAAGCUAACUUCUGAAGCCCCAGUAAACGGCGGCCGUAACUAUAACGGUCCUAAGGUAGCGAAAUUCCUUGUCGGGU
rnacentral:rRNA from 1 species